UACGAAGGGGGCUAGCGUUGCUCGGAAUUACUGGGCGUAAAGGGCGCGUAGGCGGGUCGUUAAGUUAGAGGUGAAAGCCCAGGGCUCAACCCUGGAAUUGCCUUUAAUACUGUCGACCUUGAGUAUGGCAGAGGUGUGUGGAACUCCGAGUGUAGAGGUGAAAUUCGUAGAUAUUCGCAAGAACACCAGUGGCGAAGGCGGCUCACUGGCCCGAUACUGACGCUGAGGCACGAAAGCGUGGGGAGCAAACAGG
rnacentral:rRNA from 1 species